ACAUGCCUACACCAUAGCGUUAAUGCACCGGAUCCCAUUAGAACUCCACAAUUAAGCGUGUUCAUGCUAGAGUAGUACUGGGAUGGGUGACCGCCCGAGAAGUCCUAGUGUCUUACAUGCC
rnacentral:rRNA from 1 species